GGACUACCCGGGUAUCUAAUCCUGUUUGCUCCCCACGCUUUCGCGUCUCAGCGUCAGUUGCGUUCCAGAGAGCCGCCUUCGCCACGGGUGUUCUUCCUGAUAUCUGCGCAUUUCACCGCUACACCAGGAAUUCCACUCUCCUCUCCCGCACUCUAGCCCGCCAGUUUCUCACGACCGCUCGGGGUUGAGCCCCGAGAUUUCACGCAAGACUUAGCGAGCCGCCUACACGCUCUUUACGCCCAAUGAUUCCGGACAACGCUCGGUCCCUACGUAUUACCGCGGCUGCUGGCAC
rnacentral:rRNA from 1 species